rnacentral:rRNA from 1 species
GAUGAACGCUAGCUACAGGCUUAACACAUGCAAGUCGAGGGGUAACGAGAGGAAAGCUUGCUUUCCUUGUCGACGACCGGCGCACGGGUGAGUAACGCGUAUCCAACCUGCCCCCAACUAGGGAAUAACCUUGCGAAAGUAAGACUAAUACCCUAUAAUUUCCUCAGAUGACAUCUGACGAGGAAUAAAGAUUUAUCGGUUGUGGAUGGGGAUGCGUCUGAUUAGCUUGUUGGCGGGGUAACGGCCCACCAAGGCAACGGUCAGUAGGGGUUCUGAGAGGAAGGUCCCCCACAUUGGAACUGAGACACGGGCCAAACUCCUACGGGAGGCAGCAGUGAGGAAUAUUGGUCAAUGGGCGGAAGCCUGAACCAGCCAAGUAGCGUGCAGGAUGACGGCCCUAUGGGUUGUAAACUGCUUUUAUACAGGAAUAAAGUUAGCCACGUGUGGUUAUUUGUAGGUACUGUAUGAAUAAGGACCGGCUAAUUCCGUGCCAGCCGCCGCCGUAA